rnacentral:rRNA from 1 species
GGUUAAGUUAGAAAGGGCGCACGGUGGAUGCCUUGGCACUAGGAGCCGAAGAAGGACGGGACUAACACCGAUAUGCUUUGGGGAGCUGUACGUAAGCGUUGAUCCAGAGAUUUCCGAAUGGGGGAACCCACUAUCUUUAGUCGGAUAGUAUCCUUACGUGAAUACAUAGCGUGAGGAAGGCAGACCCAGGGAACUGAAACAUCUAAGUACCUGGAGGAAGAGAAAGAAAAAUCGAUUUCCUGAGUAGCGGCGAGCGAAACGGAAAGAGCCCAAACCAAGAAGCUUGCUUCUUGGGGUUGUAGGACACUCUAUACGGAGUUACAAAAGAAAGUUAUAAAUGAAGCGGUCUGGAAAGGCCCGCCAAAGACGGUAACAGCCCGGUAGUUGAAAUGGCUUUCCCUCCAGAGUGGAUCCUGAGUACGGCGGAACACGUGAAAUUCCGUCGGAAUCCGGGAGGACCAUCUCCCAAGGCUAAAUACUCCCUAGUGACCGAUAGUGAACCAGUACCGUGAGGGAAAGGUGAAAAGCACCCCGGAAGGGGAGUGAAACAGUUCCUGAAACCGUGUGCCUACAAGUAGUUAGAGCCCGUUAAUGGGUGAUAGCGUGCCUUUUGUAGAAUGAACCGGCGAGUUACGAUUUGUUGCAAGGUUAAGCGGAAAAAGCGGAGCCGUAGCGAAAGCGAGUCUGAAUAGGGCGCAUAAGUAACAGGUCGUAGACCCGAAACCAGGUGAUCUACCCAUGUCCAGGAUGAAGGUAAGGUAAUACUUACUGGAGGUCCGAACCCACGCACGUUGAAAAGUGCGGGGAUGAGGUGUGGGUAGCGGAGAAAUUCCAAUCGAACUUGGAGAUAGCUGGUUCUCUCCGAAAUAGCUUUAGGGCUAGCCUCGAGGUAAAGAGUCAUGGAGGUAGAGCACUGUUUGGACUAGGGGCCCUUCUCGGGUUACCGAAUUCAGAUAAACUCCGAAUGCCAUGUACUUAUACUCGGGAGUCAGACUGCGAGUGAUAAGAUCCGUAGUCGAAAGGGAAACAGCCCAGACCACCAGUUAAGGUCCCCAAAUAUAUGUUAAGUGGAAAAGGAUGUGGGGUUGCUUAGACAACCAGGAUGUUGGCUUAGAAGCAGCCACCAUUGAAAGAGUGCGUAAUAGCUCACUGGUCGAGUGACCCCGCGCCGAAAAUGUACCGGGGCUAAACAUAUUACCGAAACUGUGGAUGAACCUCUUUAGAGGUUCGUGGUAGGAGAGCGUUCUAAGGGCGGUGAAGUCAGACCGGAAGGACUGGUGGAGCGCUUAGAAGUGAGAAUGCCGGUAUGAGUAGCGAAAGAAGGGUGAGAAUCCCUUCCACCGAAUAUCUAAGGUUUCCUGAGGAAGGCUCGUCCGCUCAGGGUUAGUCGGGACCUAAGCCGAGGCCGAUAGGCGUAGGCGAUGGACAACAGGUAGAGAUUCCUGUACCAGUGCUAAUUGUUUAACCGAUGGGGUGACACAGAAGGAUAGGGAAUCGCACGAAUGGAAAUGUGCGUCCAAGCAGUGAGUGUGAGAAGUAGGCAAAUCCGCUUCUCGCGAAGCAUGAGCUGUGAUGGGGAAGGAAAUUAAGUACGGAAGUUCCUGAUUUCACGCUGUCAAGAAAAGCCUCUAGGAAGAGUAGUACUGCCCGUACCGCAAACCGACACAGGUAGAUGAGGAGAGAAUCCUAAGGUGAGCGAGAGAACUCUCGUUAAGGAACUCGGCAAAAUGACCCCGUAACUUCGGGAGAAGGGGUGCUCUAU